AAACGCCGGUUUGAGGGAUGGGAGAGCGGCAAAAUCAGGGGGUCACAUUCUCUCUCUCAAUCGUUCCGCUUUGCUUUCCCGCCAUCCAUGGCAGCAAUGGAAAUCGACUCGCCGGGGAAGAUACCCAGGAAGCAGUCUUCCUACCGUCCCUUGGACGAGGCGUUCCAGAUACGGAAGGAGACCUACGGAGGUCAACAGUACAGUCAGAUGUACUUCGCGCGUCUCCACAUGAUGCGGACCCUCAUCUACUCCCUCGUCCCCACCUGGAAGCCUCACGUUCCCGUUUGCAAUAUUUUAGGAAUAGAAAAAGGCAAGGAAUGCAUUAUUGUUGGUACUUUGUACAAGCACAUGAAACUUAAACCAUCAAUCCUCGAUGAGUACUCUAAGGAGAGAUCUGCAACUCCGAUUGUAAGGCCCCACAAUUUUAUGCACCAAGAUGAUUAUCUGAUUUUUGAAGAUGAAAGUGGUAGAGUAAAACUCGGAGGUUCUGUUCUUACGCCUUCCGUCUAUGUAACAGGCAUUGUUGUCGCUUUGCUUGGGAGGGAAACAGGCAAUGGUGACUUCCAUGUUGAGGAUGUCCUAGAAGCAGGCCUACCACCUCAGUUGGAGAUGCCCCUUAAAUCAGGAGCAGACAAAUAUGUUGUUCUAGUUUCCGGAGUUAACGUGGGCAGCGGUGCUUCUAAUCCUCUGGAGUUUCAGCUUUUCAUUGAUCAUAUAACAGGACACUUAGGGGAUAAGAAGGCACAAGAGAUGGCAGCGAAAAUAGUCCACCUGGUCAUUGCUGGAAACUCUGUUGAAAUUCCCCGUGAACUUCUGAACAAACAGAAUCUGGCUUCUACUGAUCAGUCGAGGUUAUCCGAGCCCAUCAAAGAGCUGGAUAUGAUGUUAACACAGAUUGCUGCAGGUUUGCCUCUGGACAUCAUGCCAGGACCCAAUGACCCAGCAAACUUUUCCUUGCCUCAAAUGCCUCUGCAUACAUGCCUCUUCCCAAGUUCAGCUGCUUAUAACACUUUUAGAUCAUGUCCAAAUCCUCACUGCUUUGACCUCGAUGGUGUCAGAUUUCUUGGAACAUCAGGUCAGAAUAUUCAUGACCUUCAGAAGUAUUCAGAGGCUAAAGAUAAGCUGGAGUUUAUGGAGAGGACAUUAAGGUGGAGGCAUCUGGCACCAACAGCACCAAACACUCUCGGGUGUUAUCCUUUCACUGAUAGAGAUCCCUUCCUCGUUGAGAGCUGCCCUCAUGUCUAUUUUGUUGGUAAUCAAGAUAGAUACGAGACGCGACUAAUAAAAGGAUCAGAAGGGCAGCUAGUUCGACUCAUUUGCAUUCCUAAAUUUGGUGAAACGGGAGUUGCAGUUAUGGUAAACGCGAGUAAUCUCGAGUGUAGUAUCCUCAGUUUUGAGGCUCGAUUUAGCUCGUAGUGGCAUGCCAUGGAGCCCGAAAGCAGAGCAAGGAUAUCUAAUAGCUGGUAGGAAGUUUUACCCUCAUUUAACUGCUCAAUCAAAGGCAAGGUCUCAGGCUCACUGCUUCAUGGCCUCGGUGAGUCUGUCAAUGACACUUCAUAUAUGUAAAGAUGGGAUUAUUCCCGUAACUUUAUUCACAAAUGUAUUAACUUCGACAUGAGAUUAUGGGUGGUGGAUUUUGUUUGAUAAUCUGUCUUGCAGAGUUUUCCGUUGGUAUCGGUUUUAGUUUGGUAGGAAAACUGGAUUGGGACUACCCGUGCUCUUUAUUAGAUAUUUAAAAAUUUUAUUUUAUUGUAAUGAACCUGUAAACUUUCCUUGUAAUUAAAAAAAAAAAAAAGCUUGGCUGGGCUUUCGCGUA